AAGGAAUAUUGGUCAAUGGGCGCAAGCCUGAACCAGCCAUGCCGCGUGCAGGAAGACGGCCCUAUGGGUUGUAAACUGCUUUUGUCAGGGAAUAAACCCCCGCUCGUGAGCGGGGCUGAAGGUACCUGAAGAAUAAGCAUCGGCUAACUCCGUGCCAGCAGCCGCGGUAAUACGGAGGAUGCAAGCGUUAUCCGGAUUCAUUGGGUUUAAAGGGUGCGCAGGCGGAUUGGUAAGUCAGGGGUGAAAUCCCACAGCUCAACUGUGGAACUGCCUUUGAUACUGUCAGUCUAGAGUAUAGUUGAAGUGGGCGGAAUGUGUCAUGUAGCGGUGAAAUGCUUAGAUAUGACACAGAACACCGAUCGCGAAGGCAGCUCGCUAAGCUAUAACGGACGCUCAUGUACGAAAGCGUGGGGAUCAAACAG
rnacentral:rRNA from 1 species